AGCGAACGCUGGCGGCAGGCCUAACACAUGCAAGUCGAGCGCCCCGCAAGGGGAGCGGCAGACGGGAGAGUAACACGUGGGAACAUGCCCUUCAGUUCGGAACAACCCAGGGAAACUUGGGCUAAUACCGAAUACGUCCGCAAGGAGAAAGAUUUAUCGCUGAAGGAUUGGCCCGCGUCCGAUUAGCUAGUUGGUGGGGUAAUGGCUCACCAAGGCGACGAUCGGUAGCUGGUCUGAGAGUAUGAUCAGCCUCACUGGGACUGAGACACGGCCCAGACUCCUACGGGAGGCAGCAGUGGGGAAUAUUGGACAAUGGGCGCAAGCCUGAUCCAGCCAUGCCGCGUGGGUGAUGAAGGCCCUAGGGUUGUAAAGCCCUUUCGGCGGGGAAGAUAAUGACGGUACCCGCAGAAGAAGCCCCGGCUAACUUCGUGCCAGCCGCCGCGGUAACAC
rnacentral:rRNA from 1 species